rnacentral:ncRNA from 1 species
UCGUCAGGCUCAAAUGGGCUCACUUGAGAGAAAUCUCUUGUGGAACAUCUGUCAAAUUCGGUGAAACCUCUCUCGCAUUACGAGAUGGCAAUACCGAGCCAAGUCCCAAGUGAGAAUCUAGGGAAAGGUGUAGAGACUAGACGGCAGACAUCCUAAUUCUCCGAAAGGGGAAUGGAUGAAGGUAUAGUCCAGACCACGAAUCCAUCUGUUG